AAGUUAGGUUUACCACCUCCUGGCAUGGUUUGGGAGUUUUAUUUGUUUAAUUUCCUCCCGAGAAUGCAAGCCUCUGCCGAUGUCAAUAAAGUGUGGAGUUAUAGAAAGACGAGUGUGCGGGUGCAAAGCCAAGAGCUUGUGCAUAGCACUAAAGAGUGCAAACAUGUUGAGAGAAGCUCUUCCAUCCGAUCUGGUGAUGACCAACAGAGGGGGAGAGAGAGAGAUCAGCGUCGACGCUUCUCAAGCAUUUGAGGAGUCGAGGACUUGUAUAUAUCAUUGCAUUUUCUGAAAAAGUAUGCAUCCGGAACAUGGUGUUUGGAUAAACUUGGUAAGAUCCUUCAAUGUAAAGAAUUUUCAAAGAAAUGAAAAGUUCGGCAAAUUUUUUACAAGGUGAAUCGCGGAAGCACAAAAAUCAAAAGAAAAUUUUGCUACUUCUAAGGGAUUCAGCUUGUGAAAAAUAGAUCAAAUCUUUUGUUGCUUUGAAUAUUAUUUACACUAAGGAUAUUAGCAAGUUCAUUCAAACACCAUGUUAAGGAUGCAUAAUUUUCACAAAAUACAAUGAUUCAAGUCCUUGACUCCUCAAUUGCUUUGAGAAACUUUGAUGGUGAUAUUUCUUUUCCUUUUGGAAGCUCACUAUCAUCUAUGAAGGUUAAUCACCUUCUGAACCAAAUUGCUAUACAGAUGGUUUGUAAAGUUGUAGCGUGUAUCGCCAUGAAUAGGAACUUUGUUGCGUGACCGCAAGCUGUGGUGCCCAUGUAAUGCCGGAGGAUGAACACACAAAGAAGAGGUAUCAGAGAUAACGAAGGUGGUGAAGAUAAUGAAGGCCGACUGGCCGAGGUCCAUGAGGAUGAAGAUUCUGCAUUUUGUUAUUUUUUUUUUCCAGGAGUGAAGCUUGAAGGUUGCUGUUUGGUUCCACCUUUGUGUUUCUGUUGGCGCUUUGCGUGUUCCCUCAUCUAGGAGAGAAGGAAAGAAGAAAAUAAGGAGUUGCAAUCAUGAUUGAAGGUUGUAAUUAAGUUGGCAUUUGUUUCUUCUUUUGGUGGAAAAAUAAGUUUCUUUGCAAAAUAAAUAGAAUAGGAUUAGACGA